rnacentral:rRNA from 1 species
UACAGAGGGGGCAAGCGUUAUUCGGAAUUAUUGGGCGUAAAGGGCGCGUAGGCGGCCUGGCAAGUGGAAGGUGAAAUCCCUCGGCUUAACCGAGGAACUGCCCUCCAAACUACUUGGCUUGAGUCCGGGAGAGGUGAGUGGAAUUCCCAGUGUAGCGGUGAAAUGCGUAGAUAUUGGGAGGAACACCAGUGGCGAAGGCGGCUCACUGGCCCGGUACUGACGCUGAGGUGCGAAAGCGUGGGGAGCAAACAGG